rnacentral:rRNA from 1 species
UAUUGGAAGCUUGCUUCCGAUAGGCGUCGACCGGCGCACGGGUGAGUAACGCGUAUCCAACCUGCCCACCACUUGGGGAUAACCUUGCGAAAGUAAGACUAAUACCCAAUGAUAUCUCUAGAAGACAUCUGAAAGAGAUUAAAGAUUUAUCGGUGAUGGAUGGGGAUGCGUCUGAUUAGCUAGUUGGUGUGGUAACGGCAUACCAAGGCAACGAUCAGUAGGGGUUCUGAGAGGAAGGUCCCCACAUUGGAACUGAGACACGGUCCAAACUCC